rnacentral:rRNA from 11 species
AGACCCGAAACCCGGUGAUCUAGCCAUGGGCAGGUUGAAGGUUGGGUAACACUAACUGGAGGACCGAACCGACUAAUGUUGAAAAAUUAGCGGAUGACCUGUGGCUGGGGGUGAAAGGCCAAUCAAACCGGGAGAUAGCUGGUUCUCCCCGAAAGCUAUUUAGGUAGCGCCUCGUGAAUUCAUCUCCGGGGGUAGAGCACUGUUUCGGCUAGGGGGCCAUCCCGGCUUACCAACCCGAUGCAAACUGCGAAUACCGGAGAAUGUUAUCACGGGAGACACACGGCGGGUGCUAACGUCCGUCGUGAAGAGGGAAACAACCCAGACCGCCAGCUAAGGUCCCAAAGUCAUGGUUAAGUGGGAAACGAUGUGGGAAGGCCCAGACAGCCAGGAUGUUGGCUUAGAAGCAGCCAUCAUUUAAAGAAAGCGUAAUAGCUCACUGGUCGAGUCGGCCUGCGCGGAAGAUGUAACGGGGCUAAACCAUGCACCGAAGCUGCGGCAGCGAACGUAUCACUUAAAGCGAUUCAGCGGGUUACGAUUGACGGAGCGAAGCGACGUCAAAGCGUAUACAAAGUCGAGUCGGUUUAAGGAUACGUU